rnacentral:rRNA from 1 species
GGGUUGUGAGGUUAAGCGACUAAGCGUACACGGUGGAUGCCCUGGCAGUCAGAGGCGAUGAAGGACGUGCUAAUCUGCGAUAAGCGUCGGUAAGGUGAUAUGAACCGUUAUAACCGGCGAUUUCCGAAUGGGGAAACCCAGUGUGUUUCGACACACUAUCAUUAACUGAAUCCAUAGGUUAAUGAGGCGAACCGGGGGAACUGAAACAUCUAAGUACCCCGAGGAAAAGAAAUCAACCGAGAUUCCCCCAGUAGCGGCGAGCGAACGGGGAGCAGCCCAGAGCCUGAAUCAGUGUGUGUGUUAGUGGAAGCGUCUGGAAAGGCGCGCGAUACAGGGUGACAGCCCCGUACACAAAAAUGCACAUGCUGUGAGCUCGAUGAGUAGGGCGGGACACGUGGUAUCCUGUCUGAAUAUGGGGGGACCAUCCUCCAAGGCUAAAUACUCCUGACUGACCGAUAGUGAACCAGUACCGUGAGGGAAAGGCGAAAAGAACCCCGGCGAGGGGAGUGAAAAAGAACCUGAAACCGUGUACGUACAAGCAGUGGGAGCACGCUUAGGCGUGUGACUGCGUACCUUUUGUAUAAUGGGUCAGCGACUUAUAUUCUGUAGCAAGGUUAACCGAAUAGGGGAGCCGAAGGGAAACCGAGUCUUAACUGGGCGUUAAGUUGCAGGGUAUAGACCCGAAACCCGGUGAUCUAGCCAUGGGCAGGUUGAAGGUUGGGUAACACUAACUGGAGGACCGAACCGACUAAUGUUGAAAAAUUAGCGGAUGACUUGUGGCUGGGGGUGAAAGGCCAAUCAAACCGGGAGAUAGCUGGUUCUCCCCGAAAGCUAUUUAGGUAGCGCCUCGUGAAUUCAUCUCCGGGGGUAGAGCACUGUUUCGGCAAGGGGGUCAUCCCGACUUACCAACCCGAUGCAAACUGCGAAUACCGGAGAAUGUUAUCACGGGAGACACACGGCGGGUGCUAACGUCCGUCGUGAAGAGGGAAACAACCCAGACCGCCAGCUAAGGUCCCAAAGUCAUGGUUAAGUGGGAAACGAUGUGGGAAGGCCCAGACAGCCAGGAUGUUGGCUUAGAAGCAGCCAUCAUUUAAAGAAAGCGUAAUAGCUCACUGGUCGAGUCGGCCUGCGCGGAAGAUGUAACGGGGCUAAACCAUGCACCGAAGCUGCGGCAGCGACGCUUAUGCGUUGUUGGGUAGGGGAGCGUUCUGUAAGCCUGUGAAGGUGUGCUGUGAGGCAUGCUGGAGGUAUCAGAAGUGCGAAUGCUGACAUAAGUAACGAUAAAGCGGGUGAAAAGCCCGCUCGCCGGAAGACCAAGGGUUCCUGUCCAACGUUAAUCGGGGCAGGGUGAGUCGACCCCUAAGGCGAGGCCGAAAGGCGUAGUCGAUGGGAAACAGGUUAAUAUUCCUGUACUUGGUGUUACUGCGAAGGGGGGACGGAGAAGGCUAUGUUGACCGGGCGACGGUUGUCCCGGUUUAAGCGUGUAGGCUGGUUUUCCAGGCAAAUCCGGAAAAUCAAGGCUGAGGCGUGAUGACGAGGCACUACGGUGCUGAAGCAACAAAUGCCCUGCUUCCAGGAAAAGCCUCUAAGCAUCAGGUAACAUCAAAUCGUACCCCAAACCGACACAGGUGGUCAGGUAGAGAAUACCAAGGCGCUUGAGAGAACUCGGGUGAAGGAACUAGGCAAAAUGGUGCCGUAACUUCGGGAGAAGGCACGCUGAUAUGUAGGUGAAGUCCCUCGCGGAUGGAGCUGAAAUCAGUCGAAGAUACCAGCUGGCUGCAACUGUUUAUUAAAAACACAGCACUGUGCAAACACGAAAGUGGACGUAUACGGUGUGACGCCUGCCCGGUGCCGGAAGGUUAAUUGAUGGGGUCAGCGCAAGCGAAGCUCUUGAUCGAAGCCCCGGUAAACGGCGGCCGUAACUAUAACGGUCCUAAGGUAGCGAAAUUCCUUGUCGGGUAAGUUCCGACCUGCACGAAUGGCGUAAUGAUGGCCAGGCUGUCUCCACCCGAGACUCAGUGAAAUUGAACUCGCUGUGAAGAUGCAGUGUACCCGCGGCAAGACGGAAAGACCCCGUGAACCUUUACUAUAGCUUGACACUGAACAUUGAGCCUUGAUGUGUAGGAUAGGUGGGAGGCUUAGAAGUGUGGACGCCAGUCUGCAUGGAGCCGACCUUGAAAUACCACCCUUUAAUGUUUGAUGUUCUAACGUUGACCCGUAAUCCGGGUUGCGGACAGUGUCUGGUGGGUAGUUUGACUGGGGCGGUCUCCUCCUAAAGAGUAACGGAGGAGCACGAAGGUUGGCUAAUCCUGGUCGGACAUCAGGAGGUUAGUGCAAUGGCAUAAGCCAGCUUGACUGCGAGCGUGACGGCGCGAGCAGGUGCGAAAGCAGGUCAUAGUGAUCCGGUGGUUCUGAAUGGAAGGGCCAUCGCUCAACGGAUAAAAGGUACUCCGGGGAUAACAGGCUGAUACCGCCCAAGAGUUCAUAUCGACGGCGGUGUUUGGCACCUCGAUGUCGGCUCAUCACAUCCUGGGGCUGAAGUAGGUCCCAAGGGUAUGGCUGUUCGCCAUUUAAAGUGGUACGCGAGCUGGGUUUAGAACGUCGUGAGACAGUUCGGUCCCUAUCUGCCGUGGGCGCUGGAGAACUGAGGGGGGCUGCUCCUAGUACGAGAGGACCGGAGUGGACGCAUCACUGGUGUUCGGGUUGUCAUGCCAAUGGCACUGCCCGGUAGCUAAAUGCGGAAGAGAUAAGUGCUGAAAGCAUCUAAGCACGAAACUUGCC